UAUAGAAUACAAUUAAUGAACUGAAAUAACUAACUCAAUUAAAUGAAAUGAGAUGAAAUGAACUGAAACGAAACGAACAAAACUAACACAAUAAAAUGGUAGGCUGAAUCAAAUGGCUGGGUGUUAUUUCAUACCGAGCUCAAAAUAAAUAGUAAUAUACCUUGCCACACAGGCAAGUCAAAUAAUGCCACACAGGCAAUCACACAUCGGACUGCGCAAUCCAGAUGCGUGCAAAAUCGGAAGGCGUGUUUGGCACAAACAUCACCAAUCCGCAGAACAGAACAGAACAGAAAACUAGGGUCGACCCAUACGCCUCCCACAACAAAACACCAAAUGGCCAACUCCCACCGGAGCACAAAACGGAGACGCCGUGGACUGAUCACACCGCCACGGAAGGUGUCAUGCCUCGGUGCCAAGAGGACAUGCCUGUGGUACCCCCACAGGUGGUUA
rnacentral:lncRNA from 1 species